CGCGUAGGCGGCCGAAUAAGUUGAAUGUGAAAUUCCCGAGCUUAACUCGGGACGUGCAUUCAAAACUGUUUGGCUUGAGUAUGGUAGAGGUAAGUGGAAUUCCUAGUGUAGCGGUGGAAUGCGUAGAUAUUAGGAGGAACACCAGUGGCGAAGGCGACUUACUGGGCCAUUACUGACGCUGAGGCGCGAAAGCGUGGGGAGCAAACA
rnacentral:rRNA from 1 species